AAAUGAUUAUUCUCAACAAACCAUAAGGACAUUGGUACUUUAUACUUCAUAUUUGGAGCAUGAGCAGGAAUAGUAGGAACAUCAAUAAGAAUACUUAUUCGUGCUGAACUUGGCCAACCCGGAUCUCUAAUUGGGGAUGACCAGAUUUAUAAUGUUAUUAUUACAGCUCACGCAUUCGUAAUAAUUUUCUUUAUAGUAAUACCUAUUAUAAUUGGUGGAUUUGGUAAUUGACUUGUUCCACUAAUAAUUGGUGCACCAGAUAUAGCAUUUCCACGAAUAAAUAAUAUAAGUUUUUGAUUACUACCACCUUCACUAACCCUUCUUCUUACAUCUUCUAUAGUAGAUAAUGCUGCUGGUACAGGAUGAACAGUUUACCCUCCUCUAGCAGGAGCUAUUGCACACGGGGGUGCAUCUGUAGAUCUAGCUAUUUUUUCACUGCACUUAGCAGGUGUAUCAUCUAUUCUUGGUGCAGUGAAUUUCAUUACAACAGCAAUUAAUAUACGAUCAGAAAGUAUAACUUUAGAUCAAACACCUUUAUUUGUAUGAUCUGUAGCUAUUACAGCAUUACUUCUCCUUCUUUCACUUCCAGUUUUAGCAGGAGCUAUUACUAUAUUAUUAACAGAUCGAAAUUUAAAUACAUCAUUCUUUGACCCUGCAGGAGGGGGUGACCCAAUUCUAUAUCAACAUCUAUUUUGAUUCUUUGGACACCCAGAAGUUUAUAUUUUAAUUCUACCGGGGUUCGGAAUUAUUUCACAUAUUGUAUGUCAAGAAAGAGGAAAAAUUGAAUCAUUUGGAACAUUAGGUAUAAUUUAUGCUAUACUAUCAAUUGGACUAAUAGGAUUUAUUGUAUGAGCACAUCAUAUAUUUACAGUAGGAAUGGAUGUUGACACACGAGCAUAUUUUACAUCAGCAACAAUAAUUAUUGCUGUACCUACAGGAAUUAAGGUAUUUAGAUGAUUAGCUACAUUAUAUGGAACUAAAUUCAAGUUCAAUCCACCAUUAUUAUGAGCUCUAGGAUUUAUUUUCCUAUUUACAAUUGGUGGAUUAACAGGAUUAGUAUUAGCAAAUUCAUCACUUGAUAUUGUAUUACAUGAUACAUAUUAUGUAGUAGCCCACUUUCAUUAUGUAUUAUCUAUAGGAGCAGUAUUUGCAAUUAUAGGAGGUGUCAUUCAAUGAUAUCCACUAUUUACAGGAUUAACUAUAAAUAAUACAUGAUUAAAAAUCCAAUUUACAAUUAUAUUCAUUGGAGUAAAUUUAACAUUCUUUCCUCAACACUUCCUAGGAUUAGCAGGAAUACCUCGACGAUACUCUGACUACCCAGACGCAUAUACAUCAUGAAACGUAGUAUCAAGAAUUGGGUCUACAAUUUCUAUUGUAGGAAUCAUUAUAUUCAUUGUAAUUAUAUGAGAAAGAAUGAUUACAAACAGAGCAACUAUAUUUAGAGCUAACAUAAGAAGAUCAACAGAAUGACUACAAAAUAACCCUCCUGCAGAACAUAGUUACUCAGAAUUACCAUUAAUCUCUAGAU